rnacentral:sRNA from 1 species
ACUCCCCACGCGUGCGGCGGCUGUACGUUGCCGCUGGCUCCGCUCUUCCGUUGUCCCCGGCGGCGCUCCCCUCGACGGCUCGUCCCCUCGGCCCAAGCGACGCGAUGACGACGGCGGCGGCAGCUGCUCCCAUCGGCCGCUGAGCCCCCGCGUCCGCGUUUCCUGUCCCCGGCGACGCUCCCCUCAGCGGCUCGUCCCCUCGGCCCGAGCGACGCAAUGGCGACGGCGGCGGCUCCCGUCGGCCCCUGAGCCCCCACGUCGGCGUUUCCUAUCACCUGUGCCGACCGCCCGAUCGCCGCCAAUACAAGAGCUCGGACAUCCUCUAGCCCCUUUCCACUCUGGUUACUGUACAGGCCUCCGAGCUCCCUUUCCUGGCAGAUCCCUGCCACCAAGCUCGUUACCAUUUCUCUUCUUUUUCCCUAGGUUGAUUUGUGCAAUUGACACAUAUUUUACUACUGUAAGGAUUACUAUGAACUGGAUCGUUAAUUAUGUACAGCAAAGUUUUGUGUAGAUGCUCCUC